UGUUAGUACCGUUCUUUACUUAUAUGCCAAAUAAAAUAACACACUGUUGAAAUGUGGCAAUCCUUCAGAUUUUUGUACCUGUUUGCUACUCGGGCCAUUGGUGGUUAUGGGUGAUUGAUACAAGAAAGCGGAGAUUUCAUAUACUUGACCCGCUACACAAGAAAGCUCCAAGCGAUGAGAGAAAGCAGCUUAACAAAUUCACUGGAUAUGUAAUUUCAAGAUUGAGAGCAUAUGCCGGCGGGGAACCUCUGAAGAAAGACGAGAAGGAGAAGGAAAUUAAAGCAUCAUAUGUUAAAAUAUCAGGCCAAAAAUCAAGCUAUGACUGCGCUAUCUACGUUAUGAAGUGGCUUGAGUUAAUUGAGCCG